CAUAUAGAAAUGCAGUGGAUUUCUGUAUAUUAGUUUUGUACCCUGCAAUUUUACUGAAUUCAUUAUUAGUUCUAAUAGUUUUUUUGGUGGCAUAUUUAGGAUUCUCUAUAUAAAGCAUCAUCUUCAAAUAGUGAGUUUUACUUCUUCUUUUGGAUUCUUAUUUAAUUUUCUUUUUAGCCUCUUUCCAUUGUGAUCUUUAUUUACUUUAUUUACUGUUAACUUUGGACUUUGCUCUACUUUUUCUAGUUCCAUGAGGUGUUAAGAGAUCGGGAGA